AGCAGUAGCCGCGGGAAUACGUAGGGUGCAAGCGUUAAUCGGAAUUACUGGGCGUAAAGCGUGCGCAGGCGGUUAUAUAAGACAGAUGUGAAAUCCCCGGGCUUAACCUGGGAACUGCAUUUGUGACUGUAUAGCUAGAGUACGGCAGAGGGGGAUGGAAUUCCGCGUGUAGCAGUGAAAUGCGUAGAUAUGCGGAGGAACACCGAUGGCGAAGGCAAUCCCCUGGGCCUGUACUGACGCUCAUGCACGAAAGCGUGGGGAGCAAACAGGAUUAGAUACCCCAGUAGUCCCUGUCUCUUAUAC
rnacentral:rRNA from 1 species